AGCGAACGCUGGCGGCAGGCCUAACACAUGCAAGUCGAACGAAGUCUUCGGACUUAGUGGCGGACGGGUGAGUAACACGUGGGAACGUACCUUUUGGUUCGGAACAACUCAGGGAAACUUGAGCUAAUACAGGAUAAGCCCUUCGGGGGAAAGAUUUAUCGCCAUUAGAGCGGCCCGCGUUAGAUUAGCUAGUUGGUGAGGUAAAGGCUCACCAAGGCUACGAUCUAUAGCUGGUCUGAGAGGAUGAUAAGCCACACUGGGACUGAGACACGGCCCACACUCCGACGGGAGGCAGCAGUGGGGAAUAUUGCGCAAUGGGCGAAAGCCUGACGCAGCCAUGCCGUGUGAAUGAUGAAGGUCUUAGGAUUGUAAAAUUCUUUUACCAGGGACGAUAAUGACGGUACCUGGAGAAAAAGCCCCGGCUAACUUUGUGCCAGCCGCCGCAGUAA
rnacentral:rRNA from 1 species